rnacentral:rRNA from 1 species
AUUGAACGCUGGCGGCAUGCUUUACACAUGCAAGUCGAACGGUAACAGGUUAAGCUGACGAGUGGCGAACGGGUGAGUAAUGCAUCGGAACGUGCCCGGUCGUGGGGGAUAACGCAGCGAAAGCUGCGCUAAUACCGCAUACGAUCUAAGGAUGAAAGCGGGGGACCGUAAGGCCUCGCGCGAUCGGAGCGGCCGAUGUCAGAUUAGGUAGUUGGUGGGGUAAAGGCUCACCAAGCCAACGAUCUGUAGCUGGUCUGAGAGGACGACCAGCCACACUGGGACGGAGACACGGCCCAGACUCCUACGGGAGGCAGCAGUGGGGAAUUUUGGACAAUGGGCGAAAGCCUGAUCCAGCAAUGCCGCGUGCAGGAAGAAGGCCUUCGGGUUGUAAACUGCUUUUGUACGGAGCGAAAAGGUCUCCUCUAGUACAGGGGGCUCAUGACGGUACCGUAAGAAUAAGCACCGGCUAACUACGUGCCAGCCGCCGCCGUAA